AUUGAACGCUGGCGGAAUGCUUUACACAUGCAAGUCGAACGGCAGCACGGACUUCGGUCCGGUGGCGAGUGGCGAACGGGUGAGUAAUGUAUCGGAACGUGCCCAGUCGUGGGGGAUAACGUAGUGAAAAUUACGCUAAUACCGCAUACGAUCUAUGGAUGAAAGCGGGGGAUCGCAAGACCUCGCGCGAUUGGAGCGGCCGAUAUCAGAUUAGGUAGUUGGUGGGGUAAAGGCCCACCAAGCCAACGAUCGGUAGCUGGUCUGAGAGGACGACCAGCCACACUGGAACUGAGACACGGUCCGGACUCCUACGGGAGGCAGCAGUGGGGAAUUUUGGACAAUGGGCGAAAGCCUGAUCCAGCCAUUCCGCGUGCAGGAUGAAGGCCCUCGGGUUGUAAACUGCUUUUGUACAGAACGAAAAGGUUUCUACUAAUACUAGGAGCUCAUGACGGUACUGUAAGAAUAAGCACCGGCUAACUACGUGCCAGCAGCCGCAGUAA
rnacentral:rRNA from 1 species